rnacentral:rRNA from 1 species
UACGGAGGGUGCAACCGUUGCUCGGAAUCAUUGGGCGUAAAGCGCACGUAGGCGGUCUGGUAAGUCAGAUGUGAAAGCCCCGGGCUCAACCUGGGAAUUGCAUUUGAGACUGCUCUGCUCGGGUGCGGAAGAGGGAAGCGGAAUUUCCGGUGUAGCGGUGAAAUGCGUAGAUAUCGGAAGGAACACCAGUGGCGAAAGCGGCUUCCUGGUCCGACACCGACGUUCAGGCACGAAAGCGUGGGGAGCAAACAGG